UUCUGCUCAAAAAGGAAAAGAGGUAAAACAAAGAUGUUAUGUGUACAUAGAAGCCAUGACCGAAAAUUGAUCGUAGUAAAUGAGCAAAAUCAACCUGUUGGUCCUAGUAAAGAUGUUGUGAUAGAAUUGGGCAGUUUCCUUGGCACAUUGGCAAGGAAUGUGAAUCUUUGCCCUCUCGAUAUAUAUGAUUGGAGGAAAAUGGACACAAAAGACGAUUUGUGGGCAUAUACCAAGGAGAAAUAUGAUAUCUCUGACACUGCGAAAAAAUGGGUUUUGGAUGGAAUUCAAGCUGCUUGGAGAAGACAGAAGAGUAAUUUGAAAAAAAAGCACUUUGAAGCCUACGGGAAUGAUGAAAUUCGAAUGCAAAAUAGGCCUGAAUAUAUUCCAACAUCUCAAUUUAAGGAUCUACUCAAAUAUUAGAACUCCGAAAAAGUCCAGUGAAAUUGUACGGCAGCAGUGUCUCUGACGCGAACGCAGUCCAACUCUCGCCCUCAGCGGAAGGGAGAAUCAGAGAACUAAAAGUGGAGCUAAAAAUUGAAGACCACGGUCCGCGAUCAUAUCUCACGGCCGCAGUUGAAGGAACGCUGAGGUGGAUAUUUUUCUGCUCUCAGCGGACUCAGAGUUCAGAACCAGCUAAUAAGAGAAGAACCGCGGUCCGUGCUUGCUUUUGUACGGCCGCGGUAGUCCAAGCGCUCAGGCGGUCCAUUUUCCGUUGUCAGCGGAAUCCCCUUAGGGGUAAUUUUGUCCGAAAAAUUUAGCUAUGUAUAAAUAGUUCUUUCCAAAAUUUUAGAUCAUCUGUUGUUUAUAAAGCAUGUGAACCGCGGUUUUUAUCCUUUUAGAGUAAUGUUAGAACAUCUUUAGCAAUUAAUCUUACAUUUUACUGUUGUAA